rnacentral:rRNA from 1 species
UGGGGAAUAUUGCACAAUGGGCGCACGCCUGAUGCAGCCAUGCCGCGUGUAUGAAGAAGGCCUUCGGGUUGUAAAGUACUUUCAGUCGGGAGGAAGGUGGUAAGGUUAAUAACCUUAUCAAUUGACGUUACCGACAGAAGAAGCACCGGCUAACUCCGUGCCAGCAGCCGCGGUAAUACGGAGGGUGCAAGCGUUAAUCGGAAUUACUGGGCGUAAAGCGCACGCAGGCGGUUGAUUGAGUCAGAUGUGAAAUCCCCGGGCUUAACCCGGGAAUUGCAUCUGAUACUGGUCAGCUAGAGUCUUGUAGAGGGGGGUAGAAUUCCAUGUGUAGCGGUGAAAUGCGUAGAGAUGUGGAGGAAUACCGGUGGCGAAGGCGGCCCCCUGGACAAAGACUGACGCUCAGGUGCGAAAGCGUGGGGAGCAAACAGG